AGUAGCAGCGGGUUCAUAUAUUUGGGGACCGACGAUGCAACGAUACAUGAAUACAGAUCCAGAAGUUUUAGCUUUCAGAAAAAAAUCCCAAUUAGAGCGAGAGCUCAAUCAAAUUGAGAAACAAACGAAAUAAAUUUAUGAAUUUUGUAUUGCUGUAGCAUAGCCGCCAUUUUGCUUUCUUCAGAACAGCUGAUUGAAAAACUUGUAAGUUGUAACUGGUCACAGUCACAGUCACAGUCACAGUCGCUAUCAGGUGAGAUGUUAUCGGUGUUAUUAACUUUUUUAUUCAGUUGUAUGAGACUGCUAGUCUCACCAAAUUUUGGCUUAAUAAAAAUAAUAUUUUAUAUUUUA